GGAUGAACGCUAGCGGCAGGCCUAAUACAUGACAAGUCGAACGGUAAAUGUCCCUUCGGGGGCAUGAGAGUGGCGCACGGGUGCGUAACGCGUAUGCAACCUACCAAUGCUGGAGGAUAGCCCGGAGAAAUUCGGAUUAACCCUUCAUGAGGAGCUUUGGAGGCAUCUUCGAGGUUUCAAAUAUUCAUAGGCGUUGGAUGGGCAUGCGUGCUAUUAGAUAGUUGGCGGGAUAACGGCCCACCAAGUCGACGAUAGCUAGGGGAUCUGAGAGGACGGUCCCCCACACUGGUACUGAGACACGGACCAGACUCCUACGGGAGGCAGCAGUAAGGAAUAUUGGGCAAUGGAGGCAACUCUGACCCAGCCAUGCCGCGUGAAGGAUGGAGGCCCUACGGGUCGUAAACUUCUUUUGUCAGGGAAUAAAGUCAUCCACGUGUGGGUGUUUGCAGGUACCUGAAGAAUAAGCAUCGGCUAACUCCGUG
rnacentral:rRNA from 1 species